CAGUCGCCGCGGUAAUACAGAGGGUGCGAGCGUUAAUCGGAUUUACUGGGCGUAAAGCGUGCGUAGGCGGCUUCUUAAGUCGGAUGUGAAAUCCCUGAGCUUAACUUAGGAAUUGCAUUCGAUACUGGGAAGCUAGAGUAUGGGAGAGGAUGGUAGAAUUCCAGGUGUAGCGGUGAAAUGCGUAGAGAUCUGGAGGAAUACCGAUGGCGAAGGCAGCCAUCUGGCCUAAUACUGACGCUGAUGUACGAAAGCAUGGGGAGCAAACAGGAUUAGAUACCCCUGUAGUCCCUGUCUCUUAUAA
rnacentral:rRNA from 1 species